rnacentral:rRNA from 1 species
UACGAGGGGGCGAGCGUUGUUCGGAAUUAUUGGGCGUAAAGGGUGCGUAGGCGGUUUGGUAAGUCUCGUGUGAAAUCUCCGGGCUCAACCUCGGAGCCUGCACGAGAAACUGCCGGGCUUGAGUGUGGGAGAGGUGAGUGGAAUUCCUGGUGUAGCGGUGAAAUGCGUAGAGAUCCGGAAGAACACCGGUGGCGAAGGCAGCCUCCUGGGUCCAUACUGACGCUCAGGCACGAAAGCGUGGGGAGCAACAGGG